UACGUAGGUGGCAAGCGUUGUCCGGAUUUACUGGGCGUAAAGGGCGUGCAGGCGGUCUGUUAAGUGCAGGGUGAAAGCUCCCGGCUCAACUGGGAGAGGUCCUUGCAUACUGGCGGACUUGAGGGGGGUAGAGGAAAGUGGAAUUCCCGGUGUAGUGGUGAUAUGCGUAGAUAUCGGGAGGAACACCUGUGGCGAAGGCGGCUUUCUGGGCCCUACCUGACGCUGAGACACGAAAGCGUGGGGAGCGAACCGGG
rnacentral:rRNA from 1 species